rnacentral:rRNA from 1 species
CUGCGAAUGGCUCAUUAUAUAAGUUAUCGUUUAUUUGAUAGUGCCUUACUACUUGGAUAACCGUGGUAAUUCUAGAGCUAAUACAUGCUACAAGCCCUGACUUCGGAAGGGGCGUAUUUAUUAGAUUAAAAACCAACGCCCUCUGGGCUCCUUGGUGAAUCAUGAUAACUUCACGAAUCGCACGGCCUUGCGCCGGCGAUGGCUCAUUCAAAUUUCUUCCCUAUCAACUUUCGAUGUUUGGGUAGUGGCCAAACAUGGUUGCAACGGGUAACGGAGGGUUAGGGCUCGACCCCGGAGAAGGAGCCUGAGAAACGGCUACUACAUCCAAGGAAGGCAGCAGGCGCGCAAAUUACCCAAUCCCGACUCGGGGAGGUAGUGACAAUAAAUACUGAUACAGGGCUCUUUCGGGUCUUGUAAUCGGAAUGAGUACAAUUUAAAUCCCUUAACGAGGAACAAUUGGAGGGCAAGUCUGGUGCCAGCAGCCGCGGUAAUUCCAGCUCCAAUAGCGUAUAUUAAAGUUGUUGUGGUUAAAAAGCUCGUAGUUGAACCUUGGGCCUGGCUGGCCGGUCCGCCUCACCGCGUGUACUGGUCCGGCCGGGCCUUUCCCUCUGUGGAACCUCAUGCCCUUCACUGGGUGUGCAGGGGAAACAGGACUUUUACUUUGAAAAAAUUAGAGUGCUCCAGGCAGGCCUAUGCUCGAAUACAUUAGCAUGGAAUAAUAAAAUAGGACGUGCGGUUCUAUUUUGUUGGUUUCUAGGACCGCCGUAAUGAUUAAUAGGGACAGUCGGGGGCAUCAGUAUUCAAUUGUCAGAGGUGAAAUUCUUGGAUUUAUUGAAGACUAACUACUGCGAAAGCAUUUGCCAAGGAUGUUUU